rnacentral:rRNA from 1 species
GGGGAAUUUUCCGCAAUGGGCGAAAGCCUGACGGAGCAAUACCGCGUGAGGGAGGAAGGCUCUUGGGUUGUAAACCUCUUUUCUCAGGGAAUAAAAAAGAAGGUACCUGAGGAAGAAGCAUCGGCUAACUCCGUGCCAGCAGCCGCGGUCAUACGUAGGGUCCAAGCGUUAUCCGGAAUUACUGGGCGUAAAGAGUUGCGUAGGUGGCAUGGUAAGCGAAUAGUGAAAUGACGAGGCUCAACCUCGUGUCCAUUAUUUGAACUGCCAAGCUAGAGAAUGUGAGAGGUACCUGGAAUUCCCUGUGUAGGAGUGAAAUCCGUAGAUAUAGGGAGGAACACCGAUGGCGUAGGCAGGGUACUGGCACAUUUCUGACACUAAGGCACGAAAGCGUGGGGAGCAAAUGGGAUUAGAUACCCCAGUAGUC